rnacentral:rRNA from 1 species
ACGGCUCAGUAACACGUGGAUAACCUGCCCUUGGGUCCGGCAUAACCCCGGGAAACUGGGGAUAAUUCCGGAUAACGCACAUAUGCUGGAAUGCUUUAUGCGUGAAAUGGAUUCGUCUGCCCAAGGAUGGGUCUGCGGCCUAUCAGGUAGUAGUGGGUGUAAUGUACCUACUAGCCUACGACGGGUACGGGUUGUGAGAGCAAGAGCCCGGAGAUGGAUUCUGAGACAUGAAUCCAGGCCCUACGGGGCGCAGCAGGCGCGAAAACUUUACAAUGCGGGAAACCGUGAUAAGGGGACACCGAGUGCCAGCAUCCUAUGCUGGCUGUCCAGGUGUGUAAACUACACCUGUUAGCAAGGGCCGGGCAAGACCGGUGCCAGCCGCCGCGGUAACACCGGCGGCCCGAGUGGUGAUCGUGAUUAUUGGGUCUAAAGGGUCCGUAGCCGGUUUGGUCAGUCCUCCGGGAAAUCUGACAGCUUAACUGUUAGGCUUUCGGAGGAUACUGCCAGACUUGGAACCGGGAGAGGUAAGAGGUACUACAGGGGUAGGAGUGAAAUCUUGUAAUCCCUGUGGGACCACCUGUGGCGAAGGCGUCUUACCAGAACGGGUUCGACGGUGGGGGACGAAAGCUGGGGGCACGAACCGGAUUAGAUACCCGGGUAGUCCCAGCCGUAAACGAUGCUCGCUAGGUGUCAGGCAUGGCGCGACCGUGUCUGGUGCCGCAGGGAAGCCGUGAAGCGAGCCACCUGGGAAGUACGGCCGCAAGGCUGAAACUUAAAGGAAUUGGCGGGGGAGCAC